AACGCGAAGAACCUUACCUGGGCUCGAAGCGUAGUGGACCGAGGUAGAAAUACUUCUUUCCCGCAAGGGACUGCUACGUAGGUGCUGCAUGGCUGUCGUCAGCUCGUGUCGUGAGAUGUUGGGUUAAGUCCCGCAACGAGCGCAACCCUUAUUGUCAGUUGCCAUCAUUUAGUUGGGCACUCUGGCGAAACCGCCUCGGAUAACGGGGAGGAAGGUGGGGAUGACGUCAAGUCCUCAUGGCCUUUAUGUCCAGGGCCACACACGUGCUACAAUGGUUGGUACAAACCGUCGCAAACCCGUGAGGGGGAGCUAAUCGGAAAAAGCCGGCCUCAGUUCGGAUUGGAGUCUGCAACUCGACUCCAUGAAGCUGGAAUCGCUAGUAAUCGCGGAUCAGAACGCCGCGGUGAAUACGUUCCCGGGCCUUGUACACACCGCACGA
rnacentral:rRNA from 1 species